UAAUAAACGUCGAGUAUCAUCAUCUCGACAGAAAUCAGUUCUGCUCAGGAGCAACUUUUGUGCCAAAGGGCGAUGGUACAAGUGAAGAUGAUGGCUGGCUAAUUUCCUUUGUGCACGAUGAGGAGACAAAUAAAUCAAGAGUGCAUAUCAUCAACACUCGAAGAUUUGAGCAUGGACCUAUUGCCAAGAUAACAUUGCCACAAAGAGUACCCUAUGGUUUUCAUGGAACAUAUGUCUCAAAAAGUGCAUGACAAAGGAAAGGAUUUUCCUAAAGCUUCGAAUUUACCACUACAUGUAAUGACAAAUACUUGUUAAGACUGAACCGUGUCCAUAAUUAUAAAGAAACAGUAUGGAGAUAGGGAUGUAUGCUACAAUGAAUCAUUUUAUUAUUCACUGAGCGAGUGAUGGACUGAUGGUUGAUUUAGAUCUGUAUUCAGAAGUACUUAUGAAUUACCAUUGUGAUUUUGUAUCACAUAACCAAUAUUUAUGGAGUAAUUGUUGGCCAAAGCUUUGUCUUAACCAAUCAAAAUGUGCCCUGCGUAUCCACACAGGGGGGUAACUAUUUACUAAAAGAUGUCCCAACAAAGAGAGGUAACAGGAUGAAAAUGUUUUUGAACAUUGCUACAGUAGAUUUUCAGAAGAUCAACAACAAUCCAAAGGGUGUUGCCAUAUUCGCCUUUCUCCAUGACACAAAGCUGAUUAAGUUAAAGGUUACGUGAGAAGAGUGUGGCAUGGUUAAGCGUGUCUCAAAUAAAUUAUACGAUGUUAUUAUAAGAUGCCAACUGAAGGUGGGACUUUGCUCCCUUAAAAAAAAAUGCAAUCUACUCUUUUUAUAUCCACAUCAACAUGAGUGCUGCUAGUACACAUUAUGUAAUACAGUAAUGCUUAUGUGCAGUAUAGUAAGAACUAAGAACAUGGAGGUGUAGUUGUAGAAGAUGAAUUUAUAGCACAAUUAAGUACUUAACUUCAUACUGGAGCAAAAAUGCAAAAUUAACAAUUCAACAAAUAAUAUAUGGUAAAGACUCGCCAGAACUUCUACAAAAUGUUAACCCUCAAUUACCCAUAGUUUCCACGACAUAUAUUGAACUGAAAGGAAAUUAUUGGAGAAACAGUGGCACUGGUAGCAAUGUUGCAAAAAAAAAAACCGAUGAAGCUGAGGAAAAUGUUAUUACAUGCAGAGAGUGAGUAUAUAACUCUCAAAUAUAUUCAGGCAUAUCAAUAUUAUUACAAGAAGAAGCAACAAAGGCCAGAUGAUCAAUGUACAAAACUUGUCAUCACAAGGUAGGAGCAAAUAAAUCAAGAUCUGGUGACAAUAUUUCUUAGAGUGACAAAAUUCAUACAGGAAUAUCUCUGUUACUGCCAACAAUACCAGUUGUACACGUGUAUCAAUGAACUAUAUUUCACCA